UACGUAGGGUGCAAGCGUUUAAUCGGAAUUACUGGGCGUAAAGGGCGCGUAGGCGGCCCGCUAAGUCGAACGUGAAAAUCCCCGAGCUCAACUCGGGAACUGCGUCCGAUACUGGCGGGCUUGAAUCCGGGAGAGGGAUGCGGAAUUCCAGGUGUAGCGGUGAAAUGCGUAGAUAUCUGGAGGAACACCGGUGGCGAAGGCGGCAUCCUGGACCGGCAUUGACGCUGAGGCGCGAAAAGCUAGGGGAGCAAACGGG
rnacentral:rRNA from 1 species